GGAGAGGUGGCGGAGUGGCCGAUCGCGCUGGUUUGCUAAACCGGUGUAGGGAUUUAAACCCCUACCGUGAGUUCGAAUCUCAUCCUCUCCG
rfam:Coraliomargarita sp. CAG:312 genomic scaffold, scf182